GGCGUAAAGAGCUCGUAGGCGGUUUGUCGCGUCUGCUGUGAAAUUUCGAGGCUCAACCUCGAACUUGCAGUGGGUACGGGCAGGCUAGAGUGCGGUAGGGGAGAUGGGUAUUCCUGGUGUAGCGGUGGAAUGCGCAGAUAUCAGGAGGAACACCAAUGGCGAAGGCACAUCUCUGGGCCGUAACUGACGCUGAGGAGCGAAAGCGUGGGGAGCGAACAGGAUUAGAUACCCUGGUAGUCCACGCCGUAAACGGUGGGUGCUAGUUGUGGGCCACAUUCCACGUGGUCCGUGACGAAGUUAACACAUUAAGCACCCCGCCUGGGGAGUACGGUCGCAAGACUAAAACUCAAAGGAAUUGACGGGGGCCCGCACAAGCGGCGGAGCAUGCGGAUUAAUUCGAUGCAACGCGAAGAACCUUACCAAGGCUUGACAUAUAGAGGAAACGUGCAGAAAUGUACGCCCCGCAAGGUCUCUAUACAGGUGGUGCAUGGUUGUCGUCAGCUCGUGUCGUGAGAUGUUGGGUUAAGUCCCGCAACGAGCGCAACCCUCGUCCUAUGUUGCCAGCACGUAAUGGUGGGAACUCAUGGGAGACUGCCGGGGUCAACUCGGAGGAAGGU
rnacentral:rRNA from 1 species